UACGAAGGGGGCUAGCGUUGCUCGGAAUCACUGGGCGUAAAGGGCGCGUAGGCGGACUUUUAAGUCAGGGGUGAAAUCCUGAGGCUCAACCUCAGAACUGCCUUUGAUACUGAGGGUCUCGAGACCGGUAGAGGUAAGUGGAACUGCGAGUGUAGAGGUGAAAUUCGUAGAUAUUCGCAAGGACACCAGUGGCGAAGGCGGCUUACUGGACCGGUUCUGACGCUGAGGCGCGAAAGCGUGGGGAGCAAACAGG
rnacentral:rRNA from 1 species